rnacentral:rRNA from 1 species
AUGAACGCUAGCGGCAGGCUUAACACAUGCAAGUCGAGGGGUAGAAGCAGCUUGCUGCUUUGAGACCGGCGCACGGGUGCGUAACGCGUAUGCAAUCUACCUUUUACAGAGGGAUAGCCCAGAGAAAUUUGGAUUAAUACCUCAUAGUAUGUGAGAAUCGCAUGGUUUUCACAUUAAAGUUCCAACGGUAAAAGAUGAGCAUGCGUCCCAUUAGCUAGAUGGUAAGGUAACGGCUUACCAUGGCGACGAUGGGUAGGGGUCCUGAGAGGGAGAUCCCCCACACUGGUACUGAGACACGGACCAGACUCCUACGGGAGGCAGCAGUGAGGAAUAUUGGACAAUGGGCGCAAGCCUAAUCCAGCCAUGCCGCGUGCAGGAUGACGGUCCUAUGGAUUGUAAACUGCUUUUGUACAGGAAGAAACACUCCCUCGUGAGGGAGCUUGACGGUACUGUAAGAAUAAGGAUCGGCUAACUCCGUG